AGGUCAGCGGCAGACUGACACCCGACACACCAGGCGCCUUCUAAGCGCUUGGCCGCAGGUUCGAGUCCUGCCGGGG
rnacentral:tRNA from 3 species